rnacentral:rRNA from 1 species
GACGAACGCUGGCGGCGUGCUUAACACAUGCAAGUCGAACGGAAAGGCCCUGCUUUUGUGGGGUGCUCGAGUGGCGAACGGGUGAGUAACACGUGAGUAACCUGCCCUUGACUUUGGGAUAACUUCAGGAAACUGGGGCUAAUACCGGAUAGGAGCUCCUGCUGCAUGGUGGGGGUUGGAAAGUUUCGGCGGUUGGGGUUGGACUCGCGGCUUAUCGGCUUGUUGGUGGGGUAGUGGCUUACCAAGGCUUUGAGGGGUAGCCGGCCUGAGAGGGUGACCGGCCACAUUGGGAUGGAGAGACGGCCCAGACUCCUACGGGAGGCAGCGGUGGGGAAUAUUGCACAAUGGGCGGAAGCCUGAUGCAGCAACGCCGCGUGCGGGAUGACGGGCUGCGGGUUGUAAACCGCUUUCGUCUGAGACGAAGCGUGAGUGACGGUAAUGGGUAAAGAAGCACCGGCUAACUACGUG